CUGGUAUCUUACCUGCAGAUGUAAUUUGUCUUGCACAUUUCAGCCAAAGACAGGCAAUUUGGCUUCUCUUUUUCGUGGUAAUUUGUGAUGUUGGAAGCUUGCAAUCCUUUGCAUUGGAUGAUUGUUCAAUGUAAAGACAAUCACCUAAUGCUGAGGGACACUAAGAGCUGGAGUAACUCAGUAGGUCAGGCAGCAUCUCUGGAGGACGUGAAUAGGUGACGUUUCGGCUCAAUAGCUUGAACAUGACUGAACGUUUGCAAAUCCAGUGUCAUGAUCCUGACCGACAAAAGGGUGAAUCUCAGUGUAUCAAGGCUGUAUCAUUGUCCUGGUAUUUCUUUAAAAUCUUUUUUGCUUCAAUAUUGCACCCCAUCUCGAACAAACGUCUUGGUAGAACAGGAGCAACUCAAGGCUGUGUGCUCAGCCCCCUGCUCUACUAACUCUAUACUCAUGACUGUGAAGCCGGACAUUGUGCGAACUCCAUUUUUAAGUUCGCAGACGACACCACCGCUGUGGGACGAAUUACAGAUGGUGAUGAGUCAGAGUAUAGAAGUGAGAUCAACCAACUGACCAAAUGGUGCCAUCACACCAACCUGACUCUCAA